rnacentral:rRNA from 1 species
CCGGCGAUUUCCGAAUGGGGAAACCCAGUGUGUUUCGACACACUAUCAUUAACUGAAUCCAUAGGUUAAUGAGGCGAACCGGGGGAACUGAAACAUCUAAGUACCCCGAGGAAAAGAAAUCAACCGAGAUUCCCCCAGUAGCGGCGAGCGAACGGGGAGGAGCCCAGAGCCUGAAUCAGUGUGUGUGUUAGUGGAAGCGUCUGGAAAGGCGCGCGAUACAGGGUGACAGCCCCGUACACAAAAAUGCACAUACUGUGAGCUCGAUGAGUAGGGCGGGACACGUGGUAUCCUGUCUGAAUAUGGGGGGACCAUCCUCCAAGGCUAAAUACUCCUGACUGACCGAUAGUGAACCAGUACCGUGAGGGAAAGGCGAAAAGAACCCCGGCGAGGGGAGUGAAAAAGAACCUGAAACCGUGUACGUACAAGCAGUGGGAGCCUCUUAAUGGGGUGACUGCGUACCUUUUGUAUAAUGGGUCAGCGACUUAUAUUCUGUAGCAAGGUUAACCGAAUAGGGGAGCCGAAGGGAAACCGAGUCUUAACUGGGCGUUAAGUUGCAGGGUAUA